rnacentral:rRNA from 1 species
GAUGAACGCUAGCGGCAGGCUUAACACAUGCAAGUCGAGGGGUAUAGGGAGCUUGCUUCCUAGAGACCGGCGCACGGGUGCGUAACGCGUAUGCAAUCUACCUUUUGCAGAGGGAUAGCCCAGAGAAAUUUGGAUUAAUACCUCAUAGUAUAGCAGUUUCGCAUGAAACCACUAUUAAAGUCACAACGGCAAAAGAUGAGCAUGCGUCCCAUUAGCUUGUUGGUAAGGUAACGGCUUACCAAGGCAACGAUGGGUAGGGUCCUGAGAGGGAGAUCCCCCACACUGGUACUGAGACACGGACCAGACUCCUACGGGAGGCAGCAGUGAGGAAUAUUGGACAAUGGGCGCAAGCCUGAUCCAGCCAUGCCGCGUGCAGGAUGACGGUCCUAUGGAUUGUAA